GUAACACGUGGAUAACCUACCUAUAAGACUGGGAUAACUUCGGGAAACCGGAGCUAAUACCGGAUAAUAUAUUGAACCGCAUGGUUCAAUAGUGAAAGACGGUUUUGCCGUCACUUAUAGAUGGAUCCGCGCCGCAUUAGCUAGUUGGUAAGGUAACGGCUUACCAAGGCAACGAUGCGUAGCCGACCUGAGAGGGUGAUCGGCCACACUGGAACUGAGACACGGUCCAG
rnacentral:rRNA from 1 species